rnacentral:rRNA from 1 species
AUUGAACGCUGGCGGCAUGCUUUACACAUGCAAGUCGAACGGUAACAGGGUGCUUGCACCGCUGACGAGUGGCGAACGGGUGAGUAAUGCGUCGGAACGUGCCGAGUAGUGGGGGAUAACGCAGCGAAAGUUGUGCUAAUACCGCAUACGUACUGAGGUAGAAAGUGGGGGACCUUCGGGCCUCACGCUAUUCGAGCGGCCGACGUCUGAUUAGCUAGUAGGUGAGGUAAAGGCUCACCUAGGCGACGAUCAGUAGCGGGUCUGAGAGGAUGAUCCGCAAAACUGGGACUGAGACACGGCCCAGACUCCUACGGGAGGCAGCAGUGGGGAAUUUUGGACAAUGGGCGAAUGCCUGAUCCAGCCAUGCCGCGUGUCUGAAGAAGGCCUUCGGGUUGUAAAGGACUUUUGUCGGGGAGGAAAUCCCCAGCGCUAAUACCGCUGGGGGAUGACAGUACCUGAAGAAUAAGCACCGGCUAACUACGUGCCAGCCGCCGCAGUAAUAC